UAUCGAUGGACUUUCUUUUGUUAGAUAGGUCGAUGGAAUUUUCUCGAUGUCGAUAGAUCGCUGCAGACGCCAAGCCACAACACAUAGAUACCUAUUUACCACAUUAUUUAAUUGUUGGCGGUUCCUCCUCGGAAAAUGGAACAUUUUUUGAUCCCAUCUGAUAAAAGUGCUUCUUCGCCUGCAGACGCCAAUAAGGAAUCUUCAUUUGCUGUUACGGUACACACUGAAAAUAUUGCGCCUCCGAAUAAGCGAAAGAAAUUUGAGAAAUCUCAAGUAUGGAAGUUUUUUGAAAAAUGCCAAGAAAAA
rnacentral:sRNA from 1 species